AUCAACGCUGGCGGCGUGCCUCAGACAUGCAAGUCGAACGCGAAAAGUCCCCUUCGGGGGGCAAAGUAGAGUGGCGCACGGGUGAGUAACACGUAGGUAAUCUACCUUUGGAUUGGGAAUAACACCGAGAAAUCGGUGCUAAUUACCGAAUAAUGCAGCGGCCACCUAAUGGUGACAGUUGUUAAAGCGGGGGGAUCGCAAGACCUCGCGUCCUGAAGAGGAGCCUGCGGCGGAUUAGCUAGUUGGUAAGGUAACGGCUUACCAAGGCUACGAUCCGUAGCCGGCCUGAGAGGGCGGUCGGCCACACUGACACUGACAUACGGGUCAGACUCCUACGGGAGGCAGCAGUCGGGAAUUUUGGGCAAUGGGCGAAAGCCUGACCCAGCAACGCCGCGUGAAGGAUGAAAUCCCUCGGGAUUGUAAAACUUCGCAAGAACGGGAAGAAUAAGCUUUAGUGAAUAUCUGAAAGCGAUUGACGGUACCGUUUGUAAGCUCCGGCUAACUCCGUGCCAGCAGGCCGCGGUAAUACGGGGGGAGCAAGCGUUGUUCGGAUUUACUGGGCGUAAAGGGCGCGUAGGCGGCCCAGCGCAAGUCCAGUUAGUGAAAUCUCCGGGCUUAACUCGGAAAGGUCAACUGAUACUGCGCGGCUAGAGUGCGGAAGGGGCAAACUGGAAUUCUUGGUGUAGCGGUGAAAUGCGUAGAUAUCAAGAGGAAACACCUGCGGCGAAGGCGGGUUGCUGGGCCGACACUGGACGCUGAUGCGCGAAAGCCCAGGGGAGCGAAACGGGAUUAGAUACCCCGGUAGUCCUGGCCCUAAACGAUGGAUACUUGGUGUGUGGGGUUUUUCUCAGUCCCCCCGCGUGCCAGAGCUAACGCGGUAAGUAUCCCGCCUGGGGAGUACGGGUCGCAAGGCUGAAACUCAAAAGGAAUUGACGGGGGAACCCGCCACAGGCGGUGGAGCAUGUGGUUUAAUUCGACGCAACGCGAAGAAAACCUUACCUGGGUUAAAUCCUGCCUCGCAGCCUCAGAGAUGGGGUUUCCCUUCGGGGGAGGCAGGACGGUGCUGCAUGGCUGUCGUCAGCUCGUGCCGUGAGGUGUUGGGUUUAAGUCCCGCAACGAGCGCAACCCCUUGCCACUAGUUGCCCAGCGUCAAGCUGGGCACUCUAGUGGGACUGCCGGUGACAAACCGGAGGAAGGUGGGGAUGACGUCAAGUCAUCAUGGCCUUUAUGUCCAGGGCUACACACGUGCUACAAUGGCCGGUACAAAGCGCCGCAAACCCGCGAGGGGGAGCCAAUCGCAAAAAGCCGGUCUCAGUUCGGAUUGCAGUCUGCAAACUCGACUGCAUGAAGGUGGAAUCGCUAGUAAUCGCGGGAUCAGCACGCCCGCGGUGAAUACGUUUCCCGGGUCUUGUACACCACCGCCCGUCACAUCACGAAAGUGGGCUGUGCUAGAAGCGGCUGAGGCUAACCGCAAGGAGGCAGGUCGCCACGGCAUGGUCCAUGAUUGGGGGG
rnacentral:rRNA from 1 species